UACGUAGGGUGCAAGCGUUGUCCGGAAUUAUUGGGCGUAAAGAGCUCGUAGGCGGUUUGUUGCGUCGGCUGUGAAAUCCCGAGGCUCAACCUCGGGUCUGCAGUCGAUACGAGCAAACUAGAGUGUUGCAGGGGAGACUGGAAUUCCUGGUGUAGCGGUGAAAUGCGUAGAUAUCUGGAGGAAUACCGGUGGCGAAGGCGGCAUCCUGGACCGACAUUGACGCUGAGGAGCGAAAGCUAGGGGAGCAAACGGG
rnacentral:rRNA from 1 species